rnacentral:rRNA from 1 species
CCUACGGGAGGCAGCAGUGGGGAAUCUUGCGCAAUGCGCGAAAGCGUGACGCAGCAACGCCGCGUGGGGGAAGACGGCCUUCGGGUUGUAAACCCCUUUCAGGAGGGACGCGGUACCUCCAGAAGAAGCCCCGGCUAACUACGUGCCAGCAGCCGCGGUAAUACGUAGGGGGCAAGCGUUGUCCGGAAUCAUUGGGCGUAAAGAGCGUGUAGGCGGUCCGGUAAGUCGGCUGUGAAAGUCCAGGGCUCAACCCUGGGAUGCCGGUCGAUACUGCCGGACUAGAGUUCGGAAGAGGCGAGUGGAAUUCCAGGUGUAGCGGUGAAAUGCGCAGAUAUCGGGAGGAACACCUAUGGCGAAGGCAGCUCGCUGGGACGUACUGACGCUGAGACGCGAAAGCGUGGGGAGCAAACAGGAUUAGAUACCCUUGUAGUC